rnacentral:rRNA from 1 species
AUGACAAUAAAUAAAUCACAAGGUCAGACAAUACCAAAUGUUGGUAUCUACCUGCCUGAACCGGUUUUCUCACAUGGUCAACUAUAUGUCGCGCUUUCUAGAGCAACCGUGACAUCAAAUAUAAAAGUACUAACAGGUACGCAUGAUGUGAACAAGCAGAAGAAUAAAGAUACCAGUACAGGCGACACAUACACAAAUGGGAAGAAGAAAAAUAAGAAUAAGAAGAUCAGUACAAGUGGAACAUGUACGAAAAAUAUUGUUUACACGGAAGUCCUAACCAAAUAG